GACGAACGCUGGCGGCGUGCCUAAUACAUGCAAGUAGAACGCAGUUUCGAACGGGUGAGUAACGCGUAGGUAACUUCCUCAUAGCGUGGGAUAACUAUUUGCAACUAUAGCUAAUACCGCAUUCUGUGAGAUGGCCCUGCUUUGUAUUAGCUAGUUGGUGAGGUAAAGGCUCACCAAGGCGACGAUACAUAGCCGACCUGAGAGGGUGAUCGGCCACAGCGGGACUGAGACACGGCCCAGACUCCUACGGGAGGCAGCAGUAGGGAAUUCUCGGUAAUGGACGGAAGUCUGACCGAGCAACGCCGCGUGAGUGAAGAAGGUUUUCGGAGCGUAAAGCUCUGUUGUUAGAGAAGGGGUAACUAACCAGAAAGGGACGGCUAACUACGUGACAGCAGCGGCGGUAAUUC
rnacentral:rRNA from 1 species